rnacentral:rRNA from 1 species
UACGGAGGGUGCAAACGUUGCUCGGAAUCAUUGGGCGUAAAGCGCACGUAGCGGUUCGGUGUGUCGGGUGUGAAAGCCCUCGGCUCAACUGAGGAAGUGCAUUCGAAACUACCGGACUUGAGUAUGGAAGAGGGUCGCGGAAUUCCCGGUGUAGAGGUGAAAUUCGUAGAUAUCGGGAGGAACACCAGUGGCGAAGGCGGCGACCUGGGCCAAUACUGACGCUGAGGUGCGAAAGCGUGGGGAGCAAACAGG